ensembl:snoRNA
CAAAAUUUUAUUUAGUGGUAGAAACAGAGAAACCCAAAGGCUGCAGACAAGAAUAACCUGGAGAGACUCUUGACAGCACAGGUCAGCAUACCUGCAGCUGCCACUCAGCUUUCCUCUACUU